UACGAAGGGGGCUAGCGUUACUCGGAUUGACUGGGCGUAAAGGGCGCGUAGGCGGAUGGUACAGUCAGACGUGAAAUUCCUGGGCUCAACCUGGGGGCUGCGUUUGAUACGUGCUGUCUGGAGCUCGGAAGAGGGUCGUGGAAUUCCCAGUGUAGAGGUGAAAUUCGUAGAUAUUGGGAAGAACACCGGUGGCGAAGGCGGCGACCUGGUCCGAUACUGACGCUGAGGCGCGAAAGCGUGGGGAGCAAACAGG
rnacentral:rRNA from 1 species